rnacentral:rRNA from 1 species
CCUGGCUAGGAUGAACGCUAGCGGCAGGCUUAACACGAUGCAAGUCGAGGGGCAUCGGGAGUAGCAAUACUGCCGGCGACCGGCGCAAGGGUGCGUAACGCGUGAGCAACAUGCCCGUAUCAGGGGGAUAAUCCAUGGAAACGUGGUCUAAUACCCCAUAGUAAUUAUGUAAGGCAUCUUAUAUAAUUUAAAGCUUUGGUGGAUACGGAUUGGCUCGCGUGACAUUAGCUAGAUGGUAAGGUAACGGCUUACCAUGGCUACGAUGUCUAGGGGUUCUGAGAGGAAGGUCCCCCCACACUGGAACUGAGACACGGUCCAGACUCCUACGGGAGGCAGCAGUGAGGAAUAUUGGACAAUGGAUGGAAAUCUGAUCCAGCCAUGCCGCGUGCAGGAAAGACGGCCCUAUGGGUUGUAAACUGCUUUUGUAUGGGAGCAAUAAGGGCUACGCGUAGUCCGAUGAGAGUACCAUACGAAUAAGCACCGGCUAACUCCGUGCCAGCCGCAGC